rnacentral:rRNA from 1 species
AGACACGGUCCAGACUCCUACGGGAGGCAGCAGUGGGGAAUAUUGCACAAUGGGCGCAAGCCUGAUGCAGCCAUGCCGCGUGUAUGAAGAAGGCCUUCGGGUUGUAAAGUACUUUCAGCGGGGAGGAAGGCGAUGUGGUUAAUAACCGCAUNGAUUGACGUUACCCGCAGAAGAAGCACCGGCUAACUCCGUGCCAGCAGCCGCGGUAAUACGGAGGGUGCAAGCGUUAAUCGGAAUUACUGGGCGUAAAGCGCACNCAGGCGGUCUGUUAAGUCAGAUGUGAAAUCCCCGGGCUUAACCUGGGAACUGCAUUUGAAACUGGCAGGCUUGAGUCUCGUAGAGGGGGGUAGAAUUCCAGGUGUAGCGGUGAAAUGCGUAGAGAUCUGGAGGAAUACCGGUGGCGAAGGCGGCCCCCUGGACGAAGACUGACGCUCAGGUGCGAAAGC